UUCCGUAUCCUGCCAAUAUAAAGUGGUCCGGCAGGCAGGGCAGGGACACCGUGGCAGGCGCGUCCACAACCGAACCGCCACAAAGCCCACCCACAAGUGAGAGAAGUGCAGGACAAGUCUCGAUCAGAAUUCAGACAGACGCCCCUCACAAUCACUGGCAACCGUGAAUAUGGCCACCGCAGUUUCCGAUGAUUCAGCCACCAUCUCCGACAACGGCGCUGGCGGCGCCACCACCGAGACCAACGUCGACAUCAAGGACGCCGUCGAAUCGAAUCCUUCUUCCGGGCCCAGUCAUUUCUCUCAAGGUGAGGAGGUCCUCGCCUUCCAUAAUGGUAUCGUUUACGAAGCCAAGGUGCAAAAAGCCGAAUUUCUGAUGAAUGAAUGGAGGUACUUUGUCCAUUAUCGUGGAUGGAACAAAAAUUGGGAUGAAUGGGUAGGCGUUCAUCGAUUGAUGAAAUACACUGAAGAGAAUGCACAGAUAAAGGAGGAGCUUAAUGAAAAAAAACACAUUGAGAAGAUUGCAAAGCAUGGACGUGCCUCACAAACUAAACCAAGAAGUUCUUCUGUGGCAAGAGGAAAGAAGCGGAAGAAUGACCCCCUUAUUGAGGAGAAGGGCACUGUUCCUCUGGAGAAGCCAAUCAACAUCCACAUCCCAUCAAAAUUGAAAAAGCAAUUAGUUGAUGACUGUGAGUCUGUAACUAAUCUUGGCAAGCUUGUAAAACUUCCUCGCAGUCCUAAUGUCAGCGAUAUAUUAAAAAAGUAUCUUGAUUACAAGUUGAAGAAUGAUGGCAUGGUAGCUGAUUCAGUCAAAGAAAUUAUGAAUGGCUUGAACUGUUACUUUGACAAAGCAUUGCCAGCAAUGCUUCUGUACAACUGUGAGCGUGAACAGUACCAAACAAUUGCAGAUAAUGUCUCGCCCUCAACUGUAUAUGGUGCUGAACAUCUAUUACGGCUCUUUGUUAAGUUGCCUGAUAUACUACAUCAUGCCAACAUUGAAGAGGAGACACUGAAGGAGUUGCAGGAGAAACUAGUGGACUUCCUCAAGUUUAAAUGGUGAAUACAUAUUUAUACUUAAAGAAAAAUGUCGAUUAACAUAGUUCCAGUCAUUGCCUGAUUUGCUUGGGAUGGGAGUACAUCUGGGGGAGGUGCAGGCUCCAGAUGAUUCAUUAUGGACUUGUUAUUUGUGUUGAUCAAAAAGUAUCUUCAUUCUUUUUCCCAAAAAUUUUUGCAGAAAAACCGAAGUGCGUUCUUCUUAUCUGCUUACCAGACGAGGGAAGACUCCGAAACAAGCCUUAAGAAGCAAGAUGACGGAUGAUGGGCUUGGUUGGAGAAGCAAGUGGUCGGUUGAGAGGUGAAGGCUGUGAGCCACAAAGGGAGACUAUAUGGACAAUAAUAAAUUGUUUGCAGGAAACCAAACAAAAGAAAAUCAUCCAUCAUCAUCGUUCCAAACCCAACUCAACUCAGUUGGCUUUUAGUGCUUCUCUCUUUCAAACAAAUCUCAAAGCUUGUCAUAUCGAUCGAUUGAUCUCCGUUUUGGCCCACUUCUCUCCUCCGCAUCUCCUCUUUGCAACAUAAUAAAAUGUGUAUUAUUAUACAAGGUAAAGAGAAGAAUAUACAGUUGCUUUCCCCUCAUCUCUCUAUGAAAUUCCAUUCCAAAUCGUUUGCUUAUUA